rnacentral:rRNA from 1 species
AGAGUUGAUCCUGGCUUAGGAUGAACGCUGGCGGCGUGCUUAACACAUGCAAGUCGAACGAAGCAGUUAUCACGAUCCCUCGGGUGACGAUUUACUGACUGAGUGGCGGACGGGUGAGUAACGCGUGGGUAACCUGCCUUGUACAGGGGGACAACAGUUGGAAACGACUGCUAAUACCGCAUAAGCGCACGAUGUCGCAUGACAAAGUGUGAAAAGAUUUAUCGGUACAAGAUGGACCCGCGUCUGAUUAGCUAGUUGGUGAGGUAACGGCCCACCAAGGCGACGAUCAGUAGCCGACCUGAGAGGGUGACCGGCCACAUUGGGACUGAGACACGGCCCAAACUCCUACGGGAGGCAGCAGUGGGGAAUAUUGCACAAUGGGCGAAAGCCUGAUGCAGCCGACGCCGCGUGAGCGAAGAAGUAUUUCGGUAUGUAAAGCUCUAUCAGCAGGGAAGAUAAUGACGGUACCUGACUAAGAAGCACCGGCUAAAUACGUGCCAGCAGCGGC